AGAGUUUGAUUCUGGCUCAGAACGAACGCUGGUGGCGUGCUUAUACAUGCAAGCGAGCGAGGCAGCAAUGCCGAGCGGCGAACGGGUGAGUAACGCGUAAGCAAUCUGCCCCAUAUCAGGAAAUACCCGUGCCAACGCGCGGUUAAUGUCCAGGAGAGUGGCCAGCUGCAUGGCUGGUUGACUAGAGAUUUAUCGGUAUGGGAUGAGCUUGCGUCCGAUUAGCUAGUUGGCGGGGCAACGGCCCACCAAGGCGACGAUCGGUAGCCGGCCUGAGAGGGUGAUCGGCCACAUUGGGACUGAGAUACGGCCCAGACUCCUACGGGAGGCAGCAGUAGGGAAUAUUGCACAAUGGGGGAAACCCUGAUGCAGCAACGCCGCGUGUGGGAAGAAGCAUUUCGGUGUGUAAACCACUGUCAUGAGGGAAUAAGGCCCGCCUUCGGACGGGAUUGAAUGUACCUUGAGAGGAAGCACCGGCAAACUUCGUGCCAGCCGCCGC
rnacentral:rRNA from 1 species